AUUGAACGCUAGCGGCAUGCUUAACACAUGCAAGUCGAACGAGCGGCGGACGGGUGAGUAAUAUAUGGGAACCUGCCCAGUAGCGGGGGAUAACUACUGGAAACAGGGCUAAUACCGCAUACCAUCAGAUCGGCCGAGAUGGGAUUAGCUAGUUGGUGGGGUAAAGGCUCACCAAGGCAACGAUCCGUAGCUGGUCUGAGAGGACGACCAGCCACACUGGGACUGAGACACGGCCCAGACUCCUACGGGAGGCAGCAGUGGGGAAUAUUGGACAAUGGGGGCAAGCCUGAUCCAGCCAUGCCGCGUGUAUGAUGAAGGCCUUCGGGUUGUAAAGUACUUUCAGCAGGGAAGCGGUAUCUGCAGAAGAAGCACCGGCUAACUACGUGCCAGCAGCCGCGGUAAUUC
rnacentral:rRNA from 1 species